GUCUAUGGCCAUACUACCCUGAGCGAGCCUGAUCUUGUCUGAUCUCAGCAGCUAAUCAGGAUCGGGCCUGGUUAGUACUUGGGUGGGAAAAAUAAACCAGACAAAACAAAAAGACUAGGCCUGUGAGUUCCAGGCCAUCCUGGUCU
rfam:Mesocricetus auratus contig051925, whole genome shotgun sequence.